rnacentral:rRNA from 1 species
CGUAGGUGGCGAGCGUUAUCCGGAAUCAUUGGGCGUAAAGAGGGAGCAGGCGGCCGCAAGGGUCUGUGGUGAAAGACCGAAGCUAAACUUCGGUAAGCCAUGGAAACCGGGCGGCUAGAGUGCGGAAGAGGAUCGUGGAAUUCCAUGUGUAGCGGUGAAAUGCGUAGAUAUAUGGAGGAACACCAGUGGCGAAGGCGACGGUCUGGGCCGCAACUGACGCUCAUUCCCGAAAGCGUGGGGAGCAAAUAGGAUU